rnacentral:rRNA from 1 species
UACGGAGGGUGCAAGCGUUAAUCGGAAUUACUGGGCGUAAAGCGUACGUAGGCGGCUUGUUAAGCAAGAUGUGAAAUCCCCGGGCUCAACCUGGGAAUGGCAUUUUGAACUGGCAGGCUCGAGUUCUGAAGAGGGUGGUAGAAUUUCCAGUGUAGCGGUGAAAUGCGUAGAUAUUGGAAGGAAUACCGGUGGCGAAGGCGGCCACCUGGACAGGUAUCGACGCUGAGGCGCGAAAGUGUGGGGAGCAAACAGG